rnacentral:rRNA from 1 species
CCUACGGGAGGCAGCAGUGGGGAAUAUUGGACAAUGGGGGCAACCCUGAUCCAGCCAUGCCGCGUGUGUGAAGAAGGCCUUCGGGUUGUAAAGCACUUUUGUUGGGGAAGAAACCGGCCGGGUUAAUACCCUGGUUGAAUGACGGUACCCAAAGAAUAAGCACCGGCUAACUUCGUGCCAGCAGCCGCGGUAAUACGAAGGGUGCAAGCGUUACUCGGAAUUACUGAGCGUAAAGCGUGCGUAGGCGGUUUGUUAAGUCUGCUGUGAAAGCCCCUGGGCUCAACCUGGGAACUGCAGUGGAUACUGGCGAGCUAGAAGUGUGUCAGAGGAUUGUGAAUUCCCGGUGUAGCGGUGAAAUGCGUAGAGAUCCGGAGGAACCCAGUGGCGAAGGCGGCCAUCUGGGACAACACUGACGCUGAGGCACGAAAGCGUGGGGAGCAAACAGGAUUAGAUACCCUGGUAGUCCACGCCCUAAACGAUGCGAACUGGACGUUGGGCACACUUAGGUGCUCAGUGUCGAAGCUAACGCGUUAAGUUCGCCGCCUGGGGAGUACGGUCGCAAGACUGAAACUCAAAGGAAUUGACGG